CCUCCACGGACUGCGAAGCAGCUGAUUGGAUCCCGCAGUACAUCACAGGGAGCAAUUAGGGGUUAGGUGUCUUGCUCAGGGACACUUCAACAUGGAACAUGGGGCAGCCUGGAAUCGAACCACCAACCUUGUGCUUCCCAGCACACCUUCUCUAACCCCUGCGCCACGACAACGACGAAGGCCGAACUUGAGAAGGGUUCCAUGUGAACAGCAGUUGAACAUGGGGCAGUCGGUCCUAAGAGAUGGUCGAACGCCGUUCGGAAGGGCAUAGCAAUGGCCUACGUCGCCCCCGGCAAAUCGAAAGGGAGCUGGGUUCAGAUGGCGGAGACAGGCGCCGCGAGGCGCCGCGAGGCACCCAGUGCGGCGACGCAAACGAUUCCGGAGAAGCUGGCGGG
ensembl:lncRNA